rnacentral:tRNA from 1 species
GCCCUGGUGGCCUAGUGGAUAAGGCAUUGGCCUCCUAAGCUGGGGAUUAUGGGUUCAAGUCCCAACUGGGGUA